GACGAACGCUGGCGGCGUGCUUAACACAUGCAAGUCGAACGGAAAGGCCCUGCUUUUGUGGGGUGCUCGAGUGGCGAACGGGUGAGUAACACGUGAGUAACCUGCCCUUGACUUUGGGAUAACUUCAGGAAACUGGGGCUAAUACCGGAUAGGAGCUCCUGCUGCAUGGUGGGGGUUGGAAAGUUUCGGCGGUUGGGGAUGGACUCGCGGCUUAUCAGCUUGUUGGUGGGGUAGUGGCUUACCAAGGCUUUGACGGGUAGCCGGCCUGGGAGGGUGACCGGCCACAUUGGGACUGAGAUACGGCCCAGACGCCUACGGGAGGCAGCAGUGGGGAAUAUUGCACAAUGGGCGGAGGCCGGAGGCAGCAACGCCGCGUGCGGGAUGACGGCCUUCGGGUUGUAAACCGCUUUCGCCUGUGACGAAGCGUGAGGGACGGUAAUGGGUAAAGAAGCACCGGCUAACUACGG
rnacentral:rRNA from 1 species